AUGAGGACACUUUCCCCAGUGCCUUCCACUGCCCCAGCAGCCUCACCAUCACCGAGUUCUGCACCUUCUUGCAUCGCGUGGCCAACAGUGACUGCUCGCUGCACCCGGCGGUGCUGGUGCAGCUUCCCGGCAUUGAGGACACCCCGGGAGCACCGAUGGACCCAGCUCUUCUGCAGAGGUGCUACACGAGCUCCUGAACUGUCCAAGGCAGAGGACAUCUGCAGUAUGGAGAUGGAGGACAGCAAUGACACCUGCCACGAUGAUCCCAACAGCCCUGAUAGAGCCCACUCCUUCACCCAGGCUCCUGACCUGCUGCAGCACUGGGUGCACAUCAGGAGGAGCAAGGGCUGCACAGAGACACAGGUGCUGGGGGCUGCCGACCCCUUCUGGGGGGCGCCGGCCUCCCCCUUGCAGGAGACACAGCAGGAGCAGGUCAGGGGCUCAGCAGACCUCCCCCAUGGCCACCGCUGAGCCCCUCUGGCACUGCAGAGGAGAGCUCCCUGCCCAGCUCUGCCCAGAGGACUCUGCAGAGGCUCGAGGGGACAGAGCUGCUGAGAGUCCCCGGAAGGAGCCCCUGGCAGCUCCCGUGGAGCAUCCCCUGCUGAGCCCCCGCUGGCAGCCCAGGCUGCUUCUGACCCACCUGCAACUGCGGAGUGCCCAGGCCUGGGUGCCCCCAGCGCCACCCAACCUGCAAUGAGUCCCUGCUGCAGGAGGCAAGGCACAGGCAGCCCAGGGUGCUUUUCAGGCCAGUGCCAGUGCCCAAUCUCCAGGCCAGCGCCACGGCGGCCCCCAGCACCUUCCACCCCCCAAACACGCACUGCUGCAGGGGGCACUGAACACGAAGCCCAGGCUGCUUCCAGAGCGAUUGACAGUGCCGAGUCCCCAAGCCCAGGCUGCCCCCAGCACCAAGCACCACACAAACCCGCCCUGGUGCAGGAGGCACUCAACAGGCAGCCCAGGGUAGUUCUGAGCCCACUGCAACUGCCCCGGGGCCUUGUCUCCUGCCAGGGGUUGCCCACGCUGCCAGAGGCGGCAGCAGCCCAGCCAAGUGCCCUGUGCCAGCCCGCACCCGCAGCCAGCCAGAGUGCUCCCAGCAGCACCAUUCCCCACCAAGGAAAAGGAGGAAGAUGGAGUUGCGCCG
rnacentral:lncRNA from 14 species